rnacentral:rRNA from 1 species
AUUGAACGCUGGCGGCAGGCCUAACACAUGCAAGUCGAGCGGAUGAAGGGAGCUUGCUCCUGGAUUCAGCGGCGGACGGGUGAGUAAUGCCUAGGAAUCUGCCUGGUAGUGGGGGAUAACGUCCGGAAACGGGCGCUAAUACCGCAUACGUCCUGAGGGAGAAAGUGGGGGAUCUUCGGACCUCACGCUAUCAGAUGAGCCUAGGUCGGAUUAGCUAGUUGGUGGGGUAAAGGCCUACCAAGGCGACGAUCCGUAACUGGUCUGAGAGGAUGAUCAGUCACACUGGAACUGAGACACGGUCCAGACUCCUACGGGAGGCAGCAGUGGGGAAUAUUGGACAAUGGGCGAAAGCCUGAUCCAGCCAUGCCGCGUGUGUGAAGAAGGUCUUCGGAUUGUAAAGCACUUUAAGUGGGGAGGAAGGUCAGUAAGUUAAUACCUUGCUGUUUUGACGUUACCAACAGAAUAAGCACCGGCUAACUUCGUG